GAGUUUGCAAUGCAUUGAUCCACAUACACGUGAGUAUGUUGAGAGACUGCAGGAUGAACCUAUGUUUUUGAUUCUUGCUCAAAAUGUCCAAGAGUAUCUUGAGAGGGUCGGAGACUUUAAAGCUGCAUCAAAGGUUGCCCUUAGGCGGGCGGGUUGAACUGAUCUACUACAAACCGCAAGAGGUUUAUGAUGCUAUGAGGAAAUUGGCUGAACAGGUAGAUGAUGGUGAAAGGUCUGGGGAGGAGUCUAACGUUGAGGAAAGUAAGGGUCCAUCUGCAUUUGUUAUCACUCCUGAGCUCGUGCCUCGAAAGCCUACUUUUCCUGAGAGUAGCAGAACAAUGAUGGAUAUGUUAGUCUCUCUCAUAUACAAGUAUGGAGAUGAGCGAAC
rnacentral:misc_RNA from 1 species